CAACACUAGCUGCCUUUUAUUACAUUUUAAUUUUUUUGGAGAGUCACAAUAACCGAUUUAGCUCUAUGGUAAACACGCACCCCAUUUUUGUACUUAGGGAUUAUCUCCUUCCUUAAAUGGACUGUGGUGCUGAGAUGCUGAUCGGUGCACUCGUCCUGCGGCCCCUCUCAGCAGUGAUGCUGACGGUGUAGAGCAUGCCUGGUGUUAGGCCUCUCAAGUUAGGUCCUUUGGUGCAUCCAGCGCUGAAACAGAGACGAGAGAGGUAAAAUCGAAGUUGGAGAGGAAAGGUGACGUGGAGCAGCUGUGCAUUGCAAGUCAUGGACUUGGAAAGCAAUGAAGAAGUAUCUGCUUUUCCUCUCCCAUAUUAUCUGUGCCUAUACCUAACCUUUUGUUUUGAAUGCACAGAGCUGAAAAUUGGUUAUACUGUUUUAAUUAUGUUCUCUGUUUGCCACACAAUUUUCAUCAUGGCCUACAAGAACUUAAGGAA